AUGAACGCUGGCGGCGUGCUUAAUAUAUGCAAGUCAAGGGGGGCCCGCAAGGGCAACCGGCGGACGGGUGAGUAAUGCGUGAGAAUCUACCUUAAAGUGGGGCAUAGCCCUCCGAAAGGAGGGGUAAUUCCCCAUGUGUACGCAAGUACAAAGUCGCAAGACGCUUUAAGAUGAGCUCACGUCCUAUCAGCUUGUUGGUGGGGUAAGAGCCUACCAAGGCAACGACGGGUAGCUGGUCUGAGAGGAUGGUCAGCCACAAUGGCACUGAGACACGGGCCAUACACCUACGGGUGGCGCAGUAGGGAAUUGUUGGCAAUGGGCGAAAGCCUGAUCACGCGACGCCCGCGUGGGGGAUUGAAGGCCUUCGGGUCGUAAACCCCUUUUACGAGGGAAGAUUAUGACGGUACCUCGCGAAUAAGCACCUGCUAACUACGUGCCAGAAGCCUCGGUAAUACGUAGGGUGCAAGCGUUAUCCGGAUUCAUUGGGCGUAAAGAGUUGCGUAGGCGGAUCUGCGCAUUUCACUUAAAAGUCUGUGGCUUAACCACAGUUUUGGGUGAAAUAUGGCAGAUCUUUCGAGUGUUGGAGAGGGUGCUGGAACCGAUCAUGAAGCAGUGAAAAUGCGUUGAUAUGAUCGGGAACACCAAAGGCGUAGGCAGGCACCUAGCCAACCACUGACGCUGAUGCACGAAAGCUAGGGGAGAGAAGCAGAUUAGAGACCUGCGUAUUCCUAGCCGUAAACGAUCCUUGUUAGAUGGGCGAUCUUUUUUUGCCUGUCGUAAGCUAACGCGUUAAGCAAGGCGCCUGGGGAGUACGAACGCAAGUUUAAAACUCAAAGGAAUUGACGGGGAGGCGCACAAGCAGUGGAGCAUGUGGUUUAAUUCGAGACAAAGCGAAAAACCUCACCAGGGUUUGACAUGUACUUGCAAAGCCUAAGAAACUAGGCCUCCUUCGAGGGUAGUACACAGAUGCUGCAUGGCUGUCGUCAGCUCGUGGCGUGAGCUGUACCGUUAAGUCGGGAAACGAGCGCAAACCCGCACCGUAUGUUAAAUAGUUCAUGCGGAACUGCCCCUUUUUGGGGAGGAAGGCGCGGAUGAUGUCAAGUCAGCACGGCUCUUACACCCUGGGCUACACACAUCCUACAAUGGCGAAUAACAACGAGUUGCGAACCGGUAACGGCAAGCUAAUCUCUGAAAUUUCGCCUCAGUUCAGAUCGGGGUCUGCAAUUCGACCCCGUGAAGUCGGAAUUGCUAGUAAUCGCAAAUCAGCAGGUUGCGGUGAAUACGUUCUCGCCUCUUGUACACACCGCCCGUCAAGGCAGCAAAGUUGGGGGCGCCCGAACAUCCCGUUAGGGGUGGAAGGCGAAACCAGCGAUGAGGCUU
rnacentral:rRNA from 1 species